GUGCUCGCUUUGGCAGCACAUAUACUAAAAUUGAAAUGAUAUAAAGAAGAUUAGCA
rnacentral:snRNA from 1 species